GUGCUCUCUUUGGCAGCACAUAUAAUAAUAUUGGAAUGAUACAGAGAAGAUUAGCACAGCCCCUGCACGAGAAUGACAUACAAAUUGCAAAUUGGUGAAACAUUCCA